ensembl:snRNA U2 U2 spliceosomal RNA
AUCCCUUCUUGGCCUUUUGGCUAAGAUCAAGUGUAGUAUCAAGAAAAUAAAUAAAUCUUAAAAAAAAAAAAAAAACUAGCU